rnacentral:rRNA from 1 species
UACGAAGGGGGCUAGCGUUGUUCGGAUUUACUGGGCGUAAAGCGCACGUAGGCGGAUCGAUCAGUCAGGGGCGAAAUCCCAGGGCUCAACCCUGGAACUGCCUUUGAUACUGUCGAUCUGGAGUAUGGAAGAGGUGAGUGGAAUUCCGAGUGUAGAGGUGAAAUUCGUAGAUAUUCGGAGGAACACCAGUGGCGAAGGCGGCUCACUGGUCCAUUACUGACGCUGAGGUGCGAAAGCGUGGGGAGCAAACAGG